CACGUAGGGCGCGAGCGUUGUCCGGAAUUAUUGGGCGUAAAGAGCUCGUAGGCGGCUUGUUGCGUCUGCUGUGAAAUCCCGGGGCUUAACCCCGGGCGUGCAGUGGAUACGGGCAGGCUGGAGGCAGGCAGGGGAGAAUGGAAUUCCCGGUGUAGCGGUGAAAUGCGCAGAUAUCGGGAGGAACACCGGUGGCGAAGGCGGUUCUCUGGGCCUGUUCUGACGCUGAGGAGCGAAAGCGUGGGGAGCGAACAGG
rnacentral:rRNA from 1 species